AGGAGCCGUAUGAGGUGAAAUUCUCAUGUACGGUUCUGGAACGGAGAUUCUUUCAAUUGAAUGACGACCAUAACGGAUGUCUGCUCAAUCCGAAGGAAAUUAUGUGGAAGCUUUGCAGAAUUAUUAUGAAGCUAUGAGACUAGAAAUUGAUCCCUAUCGAAGUUAUAUACUCUAU
rfam:Capsicum annuum cultivar Zunla-1 chromosome 2, whole genome shotgun sequence